CUGGCACAAUUUCUGGUACUAUUUUAUUUAUUUAUUCUAGAGCACAAAGCCUUGAAGUGGACAAGCCUCAAUAGGAAAAAUACAUAAGAUGCACCCUGUAUUUGUUCAAGAAAAUCGGUUUCACGCUCAACCUUUACGGCUGUCCUAAUACCCCCUAUCCUUAUUCAAAGUGAAUUUAAUACCACUGAAAUAUAAUACCACUUUCAGUACAUCACACGCGCAUGCCACAUCAGCACCACGUCAGCAUCAUCUGUUUUUAACUCUCUUUUUUCCCUUUUUAUUCACACAUUUUUUUUCUUCUUCCACGCCCACCACCAAACCUCCAUUACCACCAAUUUUACUAGUCACCAACAAAUCUGCACCACCGAUUUCACUGCCAAAUUCAUCAUCAUCAAUUCCAUCAACCAUCACCAAACUCAUUAAAUUGUAUAUUAAAUUGACGAAUUUCUGUUGCAAGUUAACGAUAUGCUCAAUAUCGAUUUCAAAAGAACCUAUUUCCAUCAAACAUCAUAAACCCAUUAAACUGUAUGUCAAAUUGACGCACUAGAUGAUUCUUUAAAGAGAACAAUAUUUUGAGGCGAGUCAAAAUAAAAAAAAAUAGGUAAUUGAAGAAAAAAAUCUGGAUUAUAGGUGUGAAAAUGGAGAAGAAGAGAUUGGACGUUAAGAAGGAGAAGAAGGGUUUGGGGAUUUGAAAGAUGAAGAUGGGGAAGGAGAUUCAAUAAAUCUGUCUUUUUGUAUAAAAAAGAAGAAAAAUCAAAAUUUCUGAUUUAAUUUUAGUAAUACGCACCUAUUUUUAUUUAUUCUU